GACGAACCGUCCUAACGUUGUUCGGAAUCACUGGGCUUAAAGGGCGCGUAGGCGGCUUGCCAAGUCAGGGGUGAAAUCCUGCAGCUUAACUGUAGAAGGGCCUUUGAUACUGGCGAGCUCGAGGGAGGUAGGGGUAUGUGGAACUUCCGGUGGAGCGGUGAAAUGCGUUGAUAUCGGAAGGAACACCGGUGGCGAAAGCGGCGCGCUGGACCUCUUCUGACGCUGAGGCGCGAAAACCAGGGGAGCAAACGGG
rnacentral:rRNA from 1 species